UUGAGGCGUGGCUUCCGGAGCUAACGCGUUAAGUCGACCGCCUGGGGAGUACGGCCGCAAGGUUAAAACUCAAAUGAAUUGACGGGGGCCCGCACAAGCGGUGGAGCAUGUGGUUUAAUUCGAUGCAACGCGAAGAACCUUACCUACUCUUGACAUCCAGAGAACUUAGCAGAGAUGGUUUGGUGCCUUCGGGAACUUUGAGACAGGUGCUGCAUGGCUGUCGUCAGCUCGUGUUGUGAAAUGUUGGGUUAAGUCCCGCAACGAGCGCAACCCUUAUCCUUUGUUGCCAGCGGUUAGGCCGGGAACUCAAAGGAGACUGCCAGUGAUAAACUGGAGGAAGGUGGGGAUGACGUCAAGUCAUCAUGGCCCUUACGAGUAGGGCUACACACGUGCUACAAUGGCGCAUACAAAGAGAAGCGACCUCGCGAGAGCAAGCGGACCUCAUAAAGUGCGUCGUAGUCCGGAUUGGAGUCUGCAACUCGACUCCAUGAAGUCGGAAUCGCUAGUAAUCGUAGAUCAGAAUGCUACGGUGAAUACGUUCCCGGGCCUUGUACACACCGCCCGUCACACCAUGGGAGUGGGUUGCAAAAGAAGUAGGUAGCUUAACCUUCGGGAGGGCGCUUACCACUUU
rnacentral:rRNA from 1 species